rnacentral:rRNA from 1 species
AGCAGCCGCGGUAAUUCCAGCUCCAAUAGCGUAUAUUAAAGUUGCUGCAGUUAAAAAGCUCGUAGUUGAAUUUCGGGACCAUCAUGUCGGUCGUGCCUCGGUACGUACUGGCAUUGUUGGUUUCUACCUUCUGACGAACCUGAUGUCAUUAAUUUUGGUGUCUUGGGGAAGUCAGGACUAGUUACUUUAGUAAAAAAUUAAGAGUGUUUAAAGACAGGCUCGCGCUUGAAUACAUUAGCAUGGAAUAAUGAAAUAGGACGUUUGAUUCUAUUUUGUUGGUUUCUAGGAUCGACGUAAUGAUUAAUAGGGAUAGUUGGGGGCAUUAGUAUUCAAUUGUCAGAGGUGAAAUUCUUGGAUUUAUUGAAGACUAACUACUGCGAAAGCAUUUGCCAAGGAUGUUUUCAUUAA